rnacentral:ncRNA from 1 species
CACCGCCCGUCGCUACUACCGAUUGAAUUAUUUAGUGAGGUCUCCGGAUGUGAUCACUGUGACGCAUUGCGUGUUUCGGUUGUUUCGCAAAAGUUGACCGAACUUGAUUAUUUAGAGGAAGUAAAAGUCGUAACAAGGUUUCCGUAGGUGAACCUGCGGAAG